GCGGGCGUAGUUUAGUGGUAAAACUAUAGCCUUCCAAGCUAUUAAUGCGGGUUCGAUUCCCGCCGCCCGCUC
rnacentral:tRNA from 2 species